GCAAAGGGGGCCAUCUCUGAUCAUGCCGGGAAUCAAACUCAAAGUUAAUCCAGAAUCUGAGUACCUCGGAAACGUCUGGGAUGUACACAAGUGCUCAGUUUUGCGCUCCGGUCACUCUACCCCGAUGGCCACUGGAUCGUAGGCGAAGUGGUCGUGCGAGGAGGAACUUCCCUGAGCUCUCAAGAAUUUUAUCCCAGUCACUCAGAACGUAAAAGACCCAACGAGGCGUCAGCGGCAUGUUUCUGUACAGGUCUGUUUUCCAUCUCAAUUCUCAACCUCGAUAUUAACCGAAUUUGGCUGUGGGGCGCUGUCAACCAGGAGCAGGCUGGAGCAGACAUGACAGGAAGUGUCUGUCACCGGUAGUAGGCAGGAGGACAACUGGACAGUGAUGGAUGCCUCGUGCAGCGGUUCGUCAUAAUCUGGAGCAGCAUUCGCAGAUGCCCGUGACUGGACCGGCUCAAUCCAACCGAAGCUACCACACCCUGUCUCUCGAAGAUGCGCUUCGAUUUGACCUGUGACCUCUCGACUUCAAGUUAUUCAAUCAAAACUUAACGUGCAUUUCUGAACUCUAUGCGCGCUACAUAUGCUAUAAACAUAAUUAUCUAAAAUUUGA